rnacentral:lncRNA from 1 species
AAUUGUUCCGUUUCAAUUUUCUUUCUAACUACUGAAUAUGUGUUCAUCCUGUUCGGCCGAAGCAAUGUCAUAGCCCUUUAACGUUCCUUGGUUCGGCUAAAUGAGAGAGUGGAGGCAUCGAGGAACUGAAACUUUACAGCAAAUUGAAGGUAUGAUUAUUUCAUUAAGCAAUUCAUAAAAAUUUUAGCUUAUUAUGUAUUAAAGGGCUGCAAUUGAACUGUUAGUUGUGGCUGUGAGAACUGAUUUAGCAAAAAGGAGUUUAGUUGUUGUUGUGUGGAGCAAUAAGGGAGGAAACUAUGGCUUGAAGCUUAUGCAAAGCUCUAUGAACUCUUUUCUAAAAAUUAAUGCACAUUACAUGUUUGAUGUUUUGCCUCUUAGAACUGUAUAGCUUAAAAAGGAAGAAUUGAGCAGAGCUAUUAUUAAGGAAGACCAUAUAUAAGUAUAGUGAGGUCAACCUAAAUAGAAUAGAUGAGUCAAAUGAAGCUUAAGAUCUGUUUUGAAAAUAAAAAUGUUAUAUUGGCCGAGUUAAAAAACUGAUCGGCAGGUCAGUUUUAAAGCUAUAAAAAACUGAUCUAGGAAGUUUGUUUUAAGUGUCUAGCAUUUUCUAAAAAUAGCUUGUCAUGUCAAGAAUAACAUAUUAACAAUUGGUUUUGAUUGGAUGUUAGACUUAAAAUCCGGAAAUUUGCAAAAGUAGCUCAGUUAGUUAGAAAAUUGUGUUCAUGUUUGGUUUAAAAACUAUUUCAGCCAAGUAGUUUGGGAGUUGUGUAGAACUGGUCCAUAAGGUCUGAAAUAGAUGGGUUAUAUUUUAUAAAAAUACUAUUGCAUACCCUCCUCUAUAUCAUGUUUAAGUUUAGUUGCAAGAAGGCAAGUGAGUUGUAAUCUGGAAAUUGGUGAAGUGGGCUGCUAAGGCUAGGCCAGGGCAGUGUGGGCAGCUGCUGCAGGCGGCAACAGCAGCCGCGUGCUGUGCUGUACUGCAGCGGCUGAUCUUGGACGAUUUGUCAAAACUACUUAAUUUCUUUAAUGUCUAACUUAUGCCAAGUAACUUAUGCCAAGUAUAAAUAAGUUAGAAAAGUGUAUAUAAUUUCAGAUGAUAAUUAUAACCAGUAUAUUAUAUGGAAAAUAAAUUGGAUCAAUAUGAUAGAUUAAGAAAAGAGUUAUUUAAGUAUGAAAAUACUAGUUUAGUUGCAAUUUUUACUUUUGGAAGCAGUUGUGACGCCCCCAAAUUCGGGUAUCUUCCAAUCCGACAAAUAGAUGGUGCUACACGGUACUCAUAACUAUACAAUCAUUCCAUUGAAAUCACAACAUAAUGAAUGUAUUAACUAUCUUCUUAUUACAAUAAUAGUGAAAUCCUAUCCCAGGUUCAUAAACCGAUUACAUUAUUUAUUGUUCGUAAGUAUAAUACAUACAAUCAUACUAAUCUAUUACAAGAUGUUUAACUAUCCAUCUUAGCCUUGCCUUUAUCUCUCUUAGAAUUCUUAGUACGCUCGGCUUUAACUGCAAACAUAUAAUUCACUCAAGAAGUGAGCAUAACUAGCUCAACAAGUUUAACAAAGGAUAAUAUCAAUACCACAUUCGUGAAUUACAUGAUAAUCUUCCAUAACUUGAACAAAUAGUCAUGAAGUAUUACGAAACAUUGAAUAAUGCUUAACAAUUCAUAACAUCAAUUCCCAAAGUAUAAUAGUUUAGGAAUUCUGAACCGGUCAAAAGAUCAGGAACAGUCUCUUUCUGUUUUCAUACUUGAAAAGGACAUCACAUCACUAAGGUUGUACAUCCGACAUUUCUUACGAGCACUUCUAGAUGAUCAGCCUAUAGUACUCUAUGUUGAUCAACAUUCAUCCGUUAAACGUAUUUACGUUUAAGAUUUGGCAAACUCGCGUACCCAUUGAAUAAACGAUGAAAAAUACUUUUGUUUGUUCAUAGACAAACUUACCUUAGAAUCCGUACCAAAUACUUGGCAUAGGAUAUCGUUAUCAUUUUUAUAUAGAAAGACAUGUAUACAAAUCAAUCUAUCUUUUACGAAUAGUCUAGUCGAGUUAAAACUGGCAUUGACCCUUUCUUUAAAAUCAUUCAUGCAACUCAUUACAAUGAAUCACAGAAAACUCGACUAACACGAAGGUUAGACAAGCGUUAAGAAAACUUGCCUUCAAGCGUCUUCGAAUAAUUUAUUCAACAGUUCUCAGUCUUUACAGUAUCUACAUGAUAUAUUCACAUAACACAUUGUAAUUAGCUACCAAACAAUCAAUCAUAUUGUUUCUACCAACUUCUUUCUCUUCUAUGUUUUAAUUGACUUUAUUUCACUAAUACUGUCAAUUCAACUUACUACCCUUCAUCACGGCUUGUUAACGUUCUUUCGUUAUUAACCGAACUCGAUCAUCAUUGGUGAAGUACCAAUGUUGAAUACCGUUCACGGUUUAAUUAUUAACACUUCACGUUCUUCGUUUACACACUAACAACUUGUGUUCAAUUCUCAUCACAAUAUACACUAGUAUAUGUAACAUAGGAAUGGUUUUAGUAUGUUUAUUAAGUAUAUAAUCUUAUACUGGUUAUAAAACAUUGGAGUUCAAACCAAACUCAUCUAACAAAUCCCCUGACUCGGCGCCGCGACGUGGCCCCUAUAAGCAACAUUGGCGUUGCGGCGCCAGUUUACAGUACCCAAGCUUCCGUCCCAGCGCUGCGGCGCGGAUCUUAUACAGGUGAAUGGCGCUGCGGCGCCACUCUUCAGUAGCUCUUUACACUGUGCAUGGCGCUGCGGCGCCAGACCUUAGACUCAGAAAAAUUUUGCAGACAAUUUUUUAUGAACUUUCCAGCUUCAUAACUUCUUCAUUAUAAACCCGAAUUGGUCCGUUCAAAAGCCUACAACUCAUAAAUUACAUACUCUACGCAUUCAUGUAAGAAUUUUACAAUUCCGAAUCCGUUAACUCAAAAUUCACUUCUAAGUUCAUUAUUAAACAUUCGUUUAACGUUCUUGAGCGUUCAAUACUCGUUUUCUUUGUUCUAAGUCAGAAUUUGACGAUUCUUGAGUCCACGACUCUUAAAUACCCUAUCUCACGUGUUGACAUUGAAAACUAACGUUUCCAAGUCACACGACAACUUUCGACUACUAAUCCGGAAUUUUUACGUUUUUGACGUUUAACGUCUAUUUCCGUAAAAUUCGCCAUAACUUCGUUAUUAGUGUUCUAUAUGCCAAAUCAAAUGGAACAACUCCAUUGAUUUCAUAUCUAUAUCCUAACCAAGCAAGAUGCACAUAUCCAGCGAUGUUUCAAUUUGUCCAUCAACGACCAUAUUCAUCAUUCAAUAUUUUCUACGGUUUAAACUUACGUAAACGCUUACGAUUCCUACUUAAACAUGACUUAUAAAUGUUUUACUCAUUACAAGUCAUUCUUAUUCCUCCAUAAGAGGCAUGCUCCACUAAUCUAUGAUUCUUUAUAAUCAAAGAAAUCAAAUAGGAUGGAAACUAAUAUUAAUGGAAUAUUACAUUUCCGUUCUUUACGUUCUUGCUAAAACUUCUAAUGAAUUGCUUCAAAGUAGGAUAAUUACUUGUUUCUAGCUCUUUCUCUCUCUUAAUAUAAGUUGGACAAUCUUGGUAAAACCACAAAUGACCAACAUAAGCCUUCUAUUUAUAGCCAACUCAAAUGGAGGGUAUUUUGGUCUUUCUCUCCACCUCCUUACUAUUCACUUCUUCCUCACCAAGUAAUUUACUUGGUCAUCAAGUAGAUUACUUUACUUGACCACCAAGUGGCCGGCCCACAUGCUCCAUGGAUCAUCCCCAUGGGUUGCCUCAUGGGUUUUACCCAUUCGGUGACACAUCGGUUCGAUCCGCGGUUCUGUUUCUUAGAUCGGGGCUUAAUUUAACCUAACAUUGGGCCUUGACUUGACUUAAAUACAUAAUUCAUUGGGCUUGAUUACUCAAUUACUUUGGUUUGAUAUAAUUCAAAUCCAAUUGGAUCAUAUUAAGUCCUUAAACUCUAAAUCCAAUAACACCAAUCGUAUUCUACACGUAUAAUUCACGUAUUCUCUUCGUAUAUUACUCGUACAAUAUUCGUAUUAUACGUCGUAUUAAAUUCUCAUACUAUACUCGUAUACUAAUUAGUAUCAUAUUCGUAUAUCGUACGCAUAAUCAUUGUAAUUCAUUAUACGUAUCUCAUUUCCUUUUCGGAAUUCAUUUUUCCUAACCCUUGGGUUUUAAGUCCGCAGGCGAAAAUUUCGAUUGCCAUAAAUGAAAUAUUAUUAGAUAUUCCAUCUCGUCUUCAUAUUCUAUCAUUACGCGUUUCUCGGAAUUUCAAACUAAAUUUCCGAGCAGAAACGGAUGAAUAGUGUUUUUACGGAAAUUUCUCGGAAAACUUUUAUUUUCGUCUUGGAAAUUCAAAACAAUUAAUUCUAGCACAUAGCCAGAAUACUAACCACAUCCGCACAUUCUAGGUCAUAGAAUGACCUUCACAUAGCUUACUCACAUAAAUAAUUAAUUAAAUUCAUUUAAUUCACAUAAUCAAAUAAAAAUUUAAUUCUCAUAUAAAUCAGAUUUUCUCGGGCGUUACAACAGUAACCUAAAUAGUAAACUUUAUAAAUAGAGUAUGUAGUAGAUAAGACAAGUUAAGUGCAAUAAAUGUAAGGGAUAUUUGUAAGAAGUAUGUACCAAGCUAUCGAAGUAAUAAAAAUCGAUAGAAGAUAUAUACAAUAAAAUCAUGAAUAAUACUCAAAUGGGAUCGGUAAGCUUGAAAAAUUCAAGAUUACAUAAAAUUUAUAGAGUGCUAAUAUUAAGUGUGGUAAUGACUUUGUGUUGCAUAGGUGCUUUGCAGGAGCAUAACAAUUUGAGUGUGUGUAAUCGUAUAGAAUAAAUAUCUUCGCAACAAGAAGGCAAGUAUUGUUGGGUAAAAUCUAUAUACGCACAACACGCAAGUAUUCGUGGUCAACAAGUAAUAGAGUGAUGAGUAGAGUAUCGUUCCCACAGAGACUAACUAGUAACAACCUUAACUUACAAUUACCAAUUUCCUAUUAACCCUAAUUUUAUUAUUCAAAUCAACUCAAUAUUUGAAAUCAAAGAAUCUAAAUUUAAAAAUAGUUAAACUAAAACAGAACAAACACAAAUAUCAAAAUCUGGAAUUUCAAACAAGUAAUGGAGAAUUAGACUUAUGAUUUCACCCUAAGCUUCACUCUGAUUUUAACACCUUUAUUCCAAUUCAAUGCACUAUCCCAGUUUAUUAAUCAAUAACACGAACGUAGUAUUAACCACCUCUCGAUGCACUAAUACCAUAUUAACGUCAAUCCACAAUUAAGAUAGAAAUCCGUUAAACACCUUAAUCAACUAACCCACUAUAUCUCUAUGUGAAUUACAAUUGAAGAAGGUUUAAGAAUAAGUUCUCUAUCCGAUUACAUGCGAUGUCAAGCAUAUCUCUACCUUAACAUUCAUCAAGAUUAAGCUAUUCACAAAAUCAUGAACACAUGCUAUAUCAACGAGGUCUAGAUUUGAAUAUCCUCCCUCGAUUCCAUCCAAUUCCACAAAGAAUUGUUGAUCAGGCAAUUCAUAGAUUCAAGCUCAAAUCAAUAUAGAUAAACUGGAAAUAGCUUAUUAAAUUGAAAAUCAAAGUUUACAAAAUUAGUGAUUCACCCAAGGAUCCAUCACAAGCUUAAAAAGUGAAUUAGUUCAUAUCCAACGAAAUAAACACUGAAUAAAAUCAUUCUUAAAUUACAAAUAAUAGUCUAAGACGAAGAAUAUUGAAAAACACCCUUCACGUAGCCUAGAAUUGCAAUCCUCUCGAAAAUCCCUUCGAAAUACUCCUCCACGCUUGCUAUCAAAAACUGAGCUUAGAUCUCCGUAAUUUGUCUUGUCUGUUGUUGAAGUUGUUAUUCCUUGAGUAUAUCAUGUCUAACACAUAAGUCUCAGCCAAAAUUCUAUUUAGAGUUACAAUACCAUGCAAAUAGCUAAAAUUUGUGCCCAAAAAGAAUUACAAACAUAACAGGACACUUCAGCAAUAACACCCCCCCCCCCGGCGGGGGUUCAUGUAUUAUAUAGGCCCACCCCGGCGGGCAUCCUUUAUGUCAAACUCGAAUGAAGACACCCCGCCCCGGCGGGGGUGUAUAGUGUAAAUUGGCCCUCCCCGGCGGGCUACCUUCCUGCUAACUGAAGAUUGAGACCCCCGCCCCGGCGGGGGGUAUAGGCUAAUAACACCCACCCCGGCGGGCUUGUCUUCUGUCAACUGACUUUGCUGAACUGCUAACUUUCUUCCAAUUAUGCUACAAUUGACUUCAAAUCACACCGAAUAGCUCCAAAUGUACGUUGAAUGCUACAACCACCAUUCUACACAUGAAAUAACAUAAAACAAGUAAAAAUGAACAUGAUCACAAGGAUUUAGCUACAAAUAAGCAUGGAACGGACAUUGAAUCGCGUAUAUAAAAUCCACUUAUCAAGUAUACCAACCUUUCUUCUUUAAUUAACUUUUAUUCCAAGUUCUUACAAUAGUUUUUGAAUGUGAUAUUGAAAUUUGCCAAUAUGUGUUAGAUAAUGGAAUUCAAUUCUAUGUGUGAAAUUGGUGAUAUGUUUAUAUGGAAUUCAUGUAUUAAAUGUUUAAGAAGAAAAUUAAAUGCAAUGAAUGUAAUCUGAGAAAUGUGUACUUAGCUUGAUGCACAACAUGAAAUAUAGAAUUGCAUAUUUAUAUAAAUGCAUUACAUGAGCUUUAUGUUGCAUUUAUGAAAUGCAUAAAAUGAAAUGAAUGUCAUUGAAUAGAUUACAAAACAUAAUUGAUAUGUGAAACAUGAAAUGUAUAAACUGUUGGGACUUGUUGAGCCGUCGCGCUCGUACUUGCAAAUAAUUGUAUUUACAGAUUAAAGAUGAAUUGCUCUAGUAAAGAUGGCGAUAAAGACUUCAAGCAUGAUACGAAGCAUAUUUAUUAUUAUUAUUAUUUUCAUUGGUUAGAUAUACAUAAGAAAAAAAUGAUUCUUGUAAUGUACCUAAGCAAAGAUGUAUAACGUUUGAGUUGAAAAAAAAUGAAUAUUUGUCUUGGAAUAUGAUAUAAAGUUGUGUAGUUACUUGGAAACUAAUUUAAUGACAGCAAUGUAAAAGAAACACUAUAUAUGAAAUAUAUGAUUUGUUAAAUUUUAGUUACAAAGGUAUAAAAGAAUGGUGUACAUAUUUAAGGUCGAAUUUUUUUAAAUACUUCUUUAAUGUAUGAAAGAUAAAGCAUAGUAUAUAUUUGAUUUUGAAAUAAGUUAAAUUGUAAAGGUUACAAUUCAUGUAAUAAGAAAGAAAAUCAUAAGAAUUUUAAAUUUAUCCUCAUUUUAUCAAUUAUAAUAUUGAUUAAUGAUGUAAAGCUAGAAUGAGAUUAUAUUAUAACGCACAAGAUCAGGAGCGGGAAUUGUUCUGAUUUUAGGGUCGUUACAUUCGCCAUUUCAGAGGACCUCGCGAUCUCAUUAUCAGGUAAUUUUCCCUCUUAUAUGUGUGUAUGUGUUUUAACCAUAUCUAUAUCUCUAUAAUUUGUGAGAACUAGUGGGUAGAUAUGAAAUUGCACCUCCAAUGAACUCAAUUUUUUUUAUUAUGCUUCCUCUCUUAAAUUGUUCAUUAUGUCUCUUCUUUUUCCUGUCUAUUUAAAUGUAACAUAUUGUAUGGGUUAUUUUUUUGAGAAGGUAGACUUAGGAUGAUAAAAAAGAAUAAAUGAGUCUUUUUCUAAUGAGCCCGAUUUGCUAAAUGUUGUAUGUAAUGUACGUGCCAUUAAUGUUGGCUGGUUGUUUCAGUACUGGAGUAGUAAUUACAAAAACACCAUACAAUAUUUUGAAUAAUUGUAUGAGAAAAAGGAGGAGGAGGAGCUAUGGGACACUGACUUUGAUUUCCUAAAUGGUAGUAAUUUUGUCCCUGGCACAUUGUCAAAAAGUUUAUCAAUACAUUUAUUAUUUUGUUUUAAACUAGAUGAUAUUGUCUUCUUUGCGUGCGAAGAAUAA